GGCUCGGUAGCUCAGCUGGGAGAGCACCUGCCUUACAAGCAGGGGGUCGGCGGUUCGAUCCCGUCCCGAGCCA
rnacentral:tRNA from 1 species